rnacentral:rRNA from 1 species
AACGAGCGCUGGCGGCAGGCUUAACACAUGCAAGUCGAGCGCCCCGCAAGGGGAGCGGCAGACGGGUGAGUAACGCGUGGGAAUCUACCCAUCUCUACGGAAUAACGCAUGGAAACGUGUGCUAAUACCGUAUACGUCCUUCGGGAGAAAGAUUUAUCGGAGAUGGAUGAGCCCGAGUUGGAUUAGCUAGUUGGUGGGGUAAAGGCCUACCAAGGCGACGAUCCAUAGCUGGUCUGAGAGGAUGAUCAGCCACACUGGGACUGAGACACGGCCCAGACUCCUACGGGAGGCAGCAGUGGGGAAUAUUGGACAAUGGGCGCAAGCCUGAUCCAGCCAUGCCGCGUGAGUGAUGAAGGCCCUAGGGUUGUAAAGCUCUUUCACCGGUGAAGAUAAUGACGGUAACCGGAGAAGAAGCCCCGGCUAACUUCGUGCCAGCCGCCGCGGUAAAAC